UCUCGUUUAGAUUGAAGGAGCUUGCUCCUGAUUGAUAAACAUAUGAGUGAGUGGAGGACGGGUGAGUAACACGUGGGUAACCUGCCUUAAAGUGGGGGAUAACAUUUGGAAACAGAUGCUAAUACCGCAUAAAACCUAACACCGCAUGGUGUAAGGUUGAAAGAUGGUUUCGGCUAUCACUUUAUGAUGGACCCGCGGUGCAUUAGUUAGUUGGUGAGGUAAAGGCUCACCAAGACAGUGAUGCAUAGCCGACCUGAGAGGGUAAUCGGCCACACUGGGACUGAGACACGGCCCAGACUCCUACGGGAGGCAGCAGUAGGGAAUCUUCCACAAUGGACGAAAGUCUGAUGGAGCAACGCCGCGUGAGUGAAGAAGGUUUUCGGAUCGUAAAACUCUGUGGUUGGAGAAGAAUGUAUCUGAUAGUAACUGAUCAGGUAGUGACGGUAUCCAACCAGAAAGCCACGGCUAACUACCGUGCCAGCAGCCGCGGUAAUACGUACGUGGCAAGCGUUGUCCGGAUUUAUUGGGCGUAAAGCGAGCGCAGGCGGUUUCUUAAGUCUGAUGUGAAAGCCUUCGGCUCAACCGAAGAAGUGCAUCGGAAACUGGGAAACUUGAGUGCAGAAGAGGACAGUGGAACUCCAUGUGUAGCGGUGAAUGCGUAGAUAUAUGGAAGAGCACCAGUGGCGAAGGCGGCUGUCU
rnacentral:rRNA from 1 species